GACGAACGCUGGCGGCGUGGAUUAGGCAUGCAAGUCGAACGGUAGUGUGCUUUCGGGUACAUGAGAGUGGCGAACGGGUGAGUAACGCGUAGGUAAUCUACCUUCAAGUGGGGGACAACCCAGGGAAACUUGGGCUAAUACCGCAUGUGGCAGUAAUGCUAAAGCCGGCCUCUGAAUAUGCUGGUGCUUGGAGAUGAGCCUGCGUCUGAUUAGCUAGACGGUGGGGUAAUGGCCUACCGUGGCGAUGAUAAGUAGGCGGCUUUAACGAGUGGUCGCCCACACUGGGAUUGAGAUACGGCCCAGACUCCUACGGGAGGCAGCAGUCGAGGAUAGUCUACAAUGGUCGAAAGAUUGAUAGUGCGACGCCGCGUGAACGAAGAAGCAUUCGGUGUGUAAAGUUCUUUUCUAUGCGAGCAGGGAUUGGGAGGUUAAUAGCUUCCUGGUUUUGAUAUUAGUAUAGGAAUAAGCCACGGCUAACUCCGUGCCAGCA
rnacentral:rRNA from 1 species